GUAACCAGGCUGCCCUGGUUAUACCUGAUCCUGCCUGAUUUCAGAAACUAUGCAGGGUUGAGCCUAGUUCAAUGAGUGCAUUUCAAGUACUGGUUCCA
rnacentral:rRNA from 1 species